UACAGAGGGUGCGAGCGUUAAUCGGAAUUACUGGGCGUAAAGCGUGCGUAGGCGGUCGUGUAAGUCGGGUGUGAAAGCCCCGGGCUCAACCUGGGAAUUGCAUUCGAGACUGCACGGCUGGAGUGCGGAAGAGGGAAGCGGAAUUUCCGGUGUAGCGGUGAAAUGCGUAGAUAUCGGAAGGAACAUCAGUGGCGAAAGCGGCUUCCUGGUCCAGCACUGACGCUCAGGCACGAAAGCGUCGGGAGCAAACAGG
rnacentral:rRNA from 1 species